rnacentral:rRNA from 1 species
GCUUGUCUCAAAGAUUAAGCCAUGCAUGUCUUAGUGUAAAUAACUCUUAUGAAACUGCGAAUGGCUCAUUAAAUCAGUUAUCGUUUAUUUGAUGGUCCCUUACUACAUGGAUAACCGUAGUAAUUCUAGAGCUAAUACAUGCACUGAAGCCCCGACUCCGGCAACGGCAGAAGGGGUGCUUUUAUUAGAUCAAAACCAAUGGGAGGCGGCCGUCAAAAAGCCGCCACCGUCCUUGAUGGUGACUCUGAAUAACUUUGGCUGAUCGCACGGCUUUAACGCCGGCGACGCAUCUUUCAAAUGUCUGCCUUAUCAACUUUCGAUGGUAGGUUAUGCGCCUACCAUGGUUGCAACGGGUAACGGGGAAUCGGGGUUCGAUUCCGGAGAGGGAGCCUGAGAAACGGCUACCACAUCCAAGGAAGGCAGCAGG